rnacentral:lncRNA from 1 species
UAUUUUAUUAAACAGAAAGGGAAAUCCACCGUUCAGUUGAACCGCGUUCGUCUAAACGUUAUCAGCCAGUUAUCAUGUCGAAUUUGUUUCAAAUCGAUGUGUUUACUUGUCAAGACUGACAAGAAACACGUGAAAACUGACUGGCACGAGUCAAUUGACGUGCUAGUGGCUUGUCGAGCUCUUGGACUGGUUUCAACUCCGUAUUUUAAGCGCUGAACUCGAUCUCCCUGAAGAGUGACCUUUGUGUUGUGUGGCCGUUCAAUCGGACGUGGAGUGUCGAUCUUUCUUUUCACCCUGUAUAUUUGGAGACUUCACUGUACAGACGUAACUGGUGUGGACUUUUGUUCAAUGUUCGAAUACUCAUUCGGCGGGAACCGCAACAGUUAAUCCAGAACCGCUAAGCUGCCAUCUUUGGAAGAAUCGUAAUUGUGAUAACGAGCAAAGUGUCUAGACGGAGCUAUCCACUCAGC